UACGGGGGGGGGCAAGCGUUGUUCGGAAUUACUGGGCGUAAAGGGCUCGUAGGUGGCCAACUAAGUCGGACGUGAAAUCCCUCAGCUUAACUGGGGAACUGCGUCCGAUACUGGAUGGCUUGAGUUUGGGAGAGGGAUGCGGAAUUCCAGGUGUAGCGGUGAAAUGCGUAGAUAUCUGGAGGAACACCGGUGGCGAAGGCGGCAUCCUGGACCAACACUGACGCUGAGGAGCGAAAGCCAGGGGAGCAAACGGG
rnacentral:rRNA from 1 species